AUCACUUCUCAGCCUUUUGGCUAAGAUCAAGUAUAUAUCUGUUCUUAUCAGUUUAAUAUCUGAUACAUCCUCUCUCCAAAGUCUAGAUGGAGCCUCAAUUCACCAACU
rnacentral:snRNA from 1 species